rnacentral:rRNA from 1 species
CCUACGGGAGGCAGCAGUGAGGAAUAUUGGUCAAUGGGCGGGAGCCUGAACCAGCCAAGUCGCGUGAGGGAAGACGGUCCUAUGGAUUGUAAACCUCUUUAGGCGGGGAGCAAGGCAGGGCACGCGUGCCCGGAGGGAGAGGACCCGCAGAAAAAGCAGCGGCUAACGCCGUGCCAUCAGCGUCGGUAUUACGGGGGAUGCGAGCGUGAGCCGGAUUUCUUGGGUUCAAGGGGUGCGUAGGCGGAUUUUUAAGUCAGCGGUAAAAUGUCCGGGCUCACCCCGGGCCUGCCGUUGAAACGGGGGAUCUUGAGUGGGCGAGAAGUAUGCGGAAUGCGUGGUGUAGCGGU